rnacentral:tRNA from 1 species
UGUCCAGGGGCGGGAAUCGAACCCACACCCUUCUGCUUACCGGGCAGGUGCCUUGUCCAUUCGGCUAUCCUGGAC